rnacentral:tRNA from 1 species
GUGGUCGUAGCUCAACUGGUUAGAGCGCGAGGUUGUGGACCUCGAGGUUGCGGGUUCAAGUCCCGUCGAUCACCCCA